UACGUGAGGGUGCGAGCGUUGUUCCGGAAUUACUGGGCGUAAAGAGCUCGUAGGCGGCUUGUCACGUCGGGGUGUCGAAAGCCCCGGGGCUUAACCCCGGGCUCGUGCAUUCGAUACGGGCAGGCUAGAGUGUGGUAGGGGGAGAUCGGAAUUCCUGGUGUAGCGGUGAAAUGCGCAGAUAUCAGGAGGAACACCGGUGGCGAAGGCGGAUCUCUGGGCCAUUACUGACGCUGAGGCGCGAAAGCGUGGGGAGCAAACGGG
rnacentral:rRNA from 1 species